GGUGGCAGCUGUCUGCAGCACAGGAAGCUGCCUAUUAAGGGCAAACAAAAGUGUCAUUAGGAGCCCUGCUGUCACUGUGGAUUGAGCCCGUACUGGCUGAGCCCCGAGGCUGUCUCUGGUGGCGGCGGGCAUCCGCUGGGAAGUGGCAAGCAGCUGGGGAAUUGGCAGUGGGGACCCCUGGGG
ensembl:misc_RNA